CACCGCCGCCGCCAUGUUGGCCGCCUCCAUCCCGCCCCUCUUCCCGCCCAACGCGCUGACGUCACAUCCGCCUUCUCCUUCCCGUCCCGGCUUGGCCGCAGCCAUGUCUCUCGUCAUCCCGGAGAAGUUCCAGCACAUCCUGCGCGUGCUCAACACCAACAUCGACGGGAGGCGCAAGAUCGCCUUCGCCAUCACCGCCAUCAAGGUGCGCCCCCGAGCGGGGACCCCCUUGUGGGUGAUGGGGAGCCCUUAUGGGUGCCAGGGAUCCCCCCAUGGGUGAUAGACACCCUUUAUGGGUGCCAGGGACCCCCGUAUGGGUGCCAGGGACUCCCCUGUGGGUGAUGGGCAUCCCCCUUGGGGAGCAGGGACCCGCCUAUGGGUGACAGGGACACCCUAUGGGUGACAGGGACCCCUUAUGGGUGAUGGGGACCCCUUAUGGGUGGCAGGGACCCCCCUAUGGCUGAUGGGGACCUCCCCUUGGGGAGCAGGGACCUCCCUAUGGGUGACAGGGACCCCCCCCCUUGGGGGGCAGGGACACCUUCUCCAUGGGUGCAAGGGCUUCUUAUGAGUGCCAGGGACCCCCCCUUGCCUGAUAGACACUGCUUAUGAGGGCAGGGACACCCCUGUGAGUGAUUGGGACCCCCCCUUGGGGAGCAGGGACCCCCCUAUGGGUGAUGAGGACCCCCCCCUUGGGGAGCAGGGACCCCUUAUGGGUGGCAGGGACACCCCUGUGGGUGACAGGGACCCCUUGUGGGUGACGGGGACCCCCCCUUGGGGAGCAGGGACCCCCCUAUGGGUGAUGGGGACCCCCCUAUAGGUGCCAGGGACCCCACUAUGGGUGCCAAGAAUCCCUUAUGGGUGGCAGGGAGCCCUCUAUGGGUGAUGGGGACCCCUUAUGGGGGCAGGGACCCCCCUAUGGGUGAUGGGGACCCCCCUAUAGGUGCCAGGGACCCCACUAUGGGUGCCAAGAACCCCUUAUGGGUGGCAGGGAGCCCUCUAUGGGUGAUGGGGACCCCUUAUGGGGGCAGGGACCCCCUUAUGGGUGACGGGGACCCCUUAUGGGUUAUGGGGACCCCUUAUGGGGGCAGGGACCCCCUUAUGGGUGACGGGGACCCCUUAUGGGUUAUGGGGACCCCUUAUGGGGGCAGGGACCCCCUUAUGGGUGACGGGGACCCCUUAUGGGUUAUGGGGACCCCUUAUGGGGGCAGGGACCCCCUUAUGGGUGACGGGGACCCCUUAUGGGUGACGGGGACCCCUUAUGGGUGGCAGGGAUCCCCCUAUGGGUGACGGGGACACCCGUAUGG